rnacentral:rRNA from 1 species
GAUGAACGCUGGCGGCGUGCCUAAUACAUGCAAGUCGAGCGAACGGACGAGAAGCUUGCUUCUCUGAUGUUAGCGGCGGACGGGUGAGUAACACGUGGAUAACCUACCUAUAAGACUGGGAUAACUUCGGGAAACCGGAGCUAAUACCGGAUGAUAUUUUGAACCGCAUGGUUCAAAAGUGAAAGACGGUCUUGCUGUCACUUAUAGAUGGAUCCGCGCUGCAUUAGCUAGUUGGUAAGGUAACGGCUUACCAAGGCAACGAUGCAUAGCCGACCUGAGAGGGUGAUCGGCCACACUGGAACUGAGACACGGUCCAGACUCCUACGGGAGGCAGCAGUAGGGAAUCUUCCGCAAUGGGCGAAAGCCUGACGGAGCAACGCCGCGUGAGUGAUGAAGGUCUUCGGAUCGUAAAACUCUGUUAUUAGGGAAGAACAUAUGUGUAAGUAACUGUGCACAUCUUGACGUUACCUAAUCAGAAAGCCCCGGCUAACUACGUG